ensembl:lncRNA
AAACUCAAAACUGCCUCUAUUUACCAAGCAGAGUGUGGGUCAGGAAGACAUUUGAGAUUUUCUUUCCUCUGCAAUUGUUUGCCUUGUUUUGGAGCCUAAAGCAAUAGAGUAAUUCCAUGACAAAAUUCCGGGUCAGAAAAGCUGACAAAGCAAAAAUUGUGACUGACUGAAAAAUCUUCUAUCAUUUCCUCCAAGCUUAAGAUUAUCAUUUGCAUUGUCUGGAUUUAAUUCACAGUCCCUGCCAUUCAUCUAUUUGAAUUUCUGCAUGCAUUUUUUGCUGGAUUAGUAUUUGUUGUUUUUCUUAUCAUCAGAUUUAUUAAAGGGUAAUUUAUUAAGAGGCACUCUGCACCCUGAGCCCUGCAUGCAUCCAGAAGAAAGCAGUGAUGACCACAGAGCUCAGAAACCUCAGAGCAGGGUCUGGGCUUCAUUACUCUGGAUUCCUGAGAGUGAGGAAGGUUUGUUAAUUUCCUGCAGUCUCAGAUCCCCAGCAAGCCUUUACUGCACUAAAACAGGCAUGAGCCCUCACUUCCCACCACAGCCCAGAGCUGAGCUUCUCCAUAGACCCACUCAACCCCUUCCAACUUUGAAGAUGGUUUGUGACACAGUCAUGCUCACUCCUCCUCCAAGUUUAUAAGUGAUGUUUCGAGAUAUUACACGAAGCACCAUGUGAGCUGAAGCAAGCUCACAGCUUCCUACCUACCACCAGGAGCCACCAAGUGUGUUAUAAAGGGUGUUUCUUAUUUUAAGGCUGGACAAGGUGAAGAAGCUGGAGCCUUACCCAUCCUUAACUCUAGAUGGAUCCUUCUGGGGUGUUGGUAAGAAAACCCACUGCAUGAGAAUGGACAGAGGAAUAGGUAACUGCAAGUCAGGAUUACACCAGUCACACAGAUGUGCACCACCACCAAUCUGCAGCAGGAUGGCUGGAGUCUCAGCGUGCUCACCCUAGAAAUACAGUCUCCUGUCUUCAGUUCCUUCCUCAUCUACAUGAGUCCCAGCCACAGCUUCAUCUCCCAUGGCAGCACCCAUCAGCACUGAUAGCAGCUACACAGAAGAGAAUGCAAAAAUGAGAAGUCAUGGGAUUGGAGUAUGCAAUCUUAUGAAUAGGAUGUGCCAAUCUCAGAGAAGCAUCCUGAACUGGAAAAAAAAAAUAAAGAGCUUUUUUACACUGAAAGCAGAAUUUUACAUCUUUUCCUCAACAUCACGGAUUAAUGCAUUCACUUGAGACUUUCUUUAUGAUGGCCAGCCUUGCAAGUAUAGGGCUAUGGAGAAAGCACAGCUCUCCCCAUAUUGAGAAUAGGAUUAAAACUGACUGGCUCCCUAACAUGAUCUCCCAUAAUACAGCUAAAAAGUAAAAAAUUAAUCAUCCUACCAUCUCCUUAAAAUUUAAGAGCAGGUGUCACACUUCAAGAAGGGUGACAUAAGGAAGGACUUAAAACUCUAUGGAACACACUAAAUAUUGCAACAUUAAUUACAUCACUCAUACAAAUAAUUAAAAUGACCACCUUCCCUGCACCCACUGCCCCACACAAACAGACAGACAUAAGCCCAAUAACUUUCCCAAUCCAAAUUGAUUGAUUUUGAUUGAUUGAUGGUUGGACUAGAUGAUCUUAGAGGUGUUUUCCAACCUUAAUGGUUCCAUGAUUAUAUGACUUUCUCUUCCUUUUCUUGACAACAGUAAAAAUCUUUGCAGGCUAGACUCUGUACAGAAAGCUAGCAGGAUCUCUGCUUGAUGUCACAUGGAAGGCAGGAAAUAUCAAAACAUUUUGUCAAUAUGGCUCUUUUACCCCAUACCUAGGAAGUGAAAGAAACCGAGGAAGCCCAAUGUUCUGAGGUUUCCAGCCUUAGCUCCAGACCCUAGCACCAAGUCUGGCCUCAUUUGGAGACCUUCUGGAAUGAAGAACUGAGCGUGCAGAAAUGUUUCAAGCCACCCCAACAUCUCCAGAGCAUUCUGCUAGUUCUGGUGCUGCCCUGCUUUGUAAAGCUAUUUUUACAAACCAGGCAGAUCAGGGGCCAUUAGGACUGACUGCUUGUUUUUUGUUUUUGUUUUUUGUUUUUU